AUGAUGAUAUGGGCGGAUAAGAAUUUGACGUGACGAGAAAAGACAGACAGCCAGAGAGAGAAAAAGACCUGGUCAUUCUAUAGAUCUGCACACUGCUUCCAACAUAACAGGCACGCGGAUCCUGCUGAUACUGGCUCUGUCUUUCUUCCUCGUCAUGGUGCUGUUGGUAUCCGCAGGCUGCAAUCCAGGAUUCAGCAU